AGCAGCUUGGCAGAAAAGGGCCUGGGGGUCCUGAUGGGCACCAAGUUGAACAUGAGUCAGCAGUGUGCCCUUGCUGCUAAGCAGGCUGAUUGUAUGGCUGGGCUGCAUUAGGUAAAGUAUUGCCGGCAGGUGAAGGGAGGUGAUCCUUCCCCUCUACUCAGCACUGGUGAGGCUACAUCUGGAGUGCUGGGUCCAGUUCUGGGCUCCUCAGUACAAGAGAGACACAUAACUCCUGGAGAGUCCAAGGAAGGGCCAUGGACAUGAUGAAGGGCCUGGAGUAUCUUUAUGGGGAGAGGAUGUGAGAGCUGGGACUGUUCAUCCUAGAAAUGAGGAGGGUCUGGGGAGAUCUAGUCAACAUAUAUGAACUCCUGAACAGAGGUUGCAAAGAAGAUGGAGAUAGUUUCUUUUCUGUGGUGCCCACUGACAGGACAAGAGGUGGGGUCAUCCAGUGCAUGAUUUCAACCUUGACUCACCCAGACGGGAUGUUAUUUUGAGCCCACUGGAGAUGAAUUCAGGAGCAUACUGCAUGAAUCCAAGGCAAACUUACCAAAAAGGGAACCCUGCACUUACAGAAACACUCCCAGUGUCCCUGUAACAAACAAGUACCAAGUGUAAUGCCAGAUUGAAGAAGCCUUCUUAAAUGUCUCCCCUGUGCUGACUACAUGUUACAUUUCAACCUAUACCUGCCUUGUUUAUCACUUUUAGUUUAUGUGACCUGGGACCACUUGAGUGAAUGUACAGUUCUCUGUCUCAGACCUAAUCUGAGAAGUUACUUGCUUCUGUCUGGUAACUCAGACAGAACUGGUGGAUCCCCACAGUACACCAGUCCUGUCCCUGCAUUUGUGACCUAGUGAACAUGCAGCAGGGUGGCAAGAGUUUUUGUGAGCUCCAAGUACUGAUCUUGAUGGGUGUAAGCUUCUAUAUAUCCUGAAGACAGCAUCUGUUCUGUAAUGUAGGUGGUUACUAUGGGGCAUUCUGUACAGACAGCUCACUAGCUGAAUAGACUGGUAGAUCCAUACAAGUCUUAGUAGUGUGCUUAAAACAAACAAACACUUUAAUCUUACUUGUAAAUUUCUUAACUUCUAACCAUUUGGUAAGCUUGACUCAGUUGUCCUAUAUUUAUGGUGUGAAUGCAAAGUAGUCAUUAGUCAAUUUUUAAUUAUAUUUAGUCUAAUAAUCAUGCUUGUCCCUUCAUACCAAGCAUUUAACUUUAAGGGCAAUGAGGGUAUAAAAAUAAAAGGAU